CCUACGGGUGGCAGCAGUGGGGAAUAUUGCACAAUGGGGGAAACCCUGAUGCAGCAACGCCGCGUGAGUGAGGAAGUAUUUCGGUAUGUAAAGCUCUAUCAGCAGGGAAUAGAAAAGAAGGUACUUGAAAAAGAAGCCCCGGCGAACUCCGUGCCAGAAGCAGCGGUAAUACGUAGGGGGGAAGCGGUAUCCGGAUUUACUGGGUGUAAAGGGCGCGUAGACGGGAAGGCAAGGCAGAAGUGAAAGCCCAAGGCUCAACCAUGGGAAUGCUUUUGAAACUGGCAAACUAGAGUCCGGGAGAGGUAAGAGGAAUUGCUAGUGUAGGGGUGAAAUGCGUAGAUAUUAGGAGGAACACCAGUGGCGAAGGCGUCUUACUGGAACGGAACUGACGGUGAGGCUCGAAAGCGUGGGGAGCAAACAGGAUUAGAUACCCCAGUAGUC
rnacentral:rRNA from 1 species